AGAGCGAACGCUGGCGGCAGGCCUAACACAUGCAAGUCGAGCGCCCCGCAAGGGGAGCGGCAGACGGGAGAGUAACACGUGGGAACGUACCCUUCAGUUCGGAACAACCCAGGGAAACUUGGGCUAAUACCGAAUACGUCCGUAAGGAGAAAGAUUUAUCGCUGAAGGAUCGGCCCGCGUCUGAUUAGCUUGUUGGUGAGGUAACGGCUCACCAAGGCGACGAUCAGUAGCUGGUCUGAGAGGAUGAUCAGCCUCACUGGGACUGAGACACGGCCCAGACUCCUACGGGAGGCAGCAGUGGGGAAUAUUGGACAAUGGGCGCAAGCCUGAUCCAGCCAUGCCGCGUGGGUGAUGAAGGCCCUAGGGGUUGUAAAGCCCUUUCGGCGGGGAAGAUAAUGACGGUACCCGCAGAAGAAGCCCCGGCUAACUUCGUGCCAGCAGCCGC
rnacentral:rRNA from 1 species